GCAAGUCGAGCGAUGAAACUUUAACAGAACCCUUCGGGGCGAAGAUAAAUUGGAUUAGCGGCGGACGGGUGAGUAACACGUGAGUAACCUGCCUUACCCAUUGGGAUAGCCUCGGGAAACCGGGAUUAAUACCAAAUAAAAUCAUAAUGACACAUGUCAUAACGAUCAAAACUCCGGUGGUCUAAGAUGGACUCGCGUCCCAUUAGCUAGGUGGUAGAGUAAAAGCCGACCAAGGCGACGAGGGGUAGCCGGCCUGAGAGGGUGAGC
rnacentral:rRNA from 1 species